GAUGAACGCUGGCGGCGUGCCUAAUACAUGCAAGUCGAGCGAACAGACGAGGAGCCUGCUCCUUUGACGUUAGCGGCGGACGGGUGAGUAACACGUAGGUAACCUACCUAUAAGACUGGGAUAACUUCGGGAAACCGGAGCUAAUACCGGAUAAUAUUUCGAACCGCAUGGUUCAAUAGUGAAAGAUGGCUUUGCUAUCACUUAUAGAUGGACCUGCGCCGGAUUAGCUAGUUGGUAAGGUAACGGCUUACCAAGGCAACGAUACGUAGCCGACCUGAGAGGGGGGACGGGCAACAGUGAACUGGGGCAAGGGUCAAGCUCCUAAGGGGGGGAGGAGGAGGGAAUCCUCCGGAAAUGGGGGAAGGCUUGAGGGGGAAAGGCGGGGGGGGUAAGGAAGGUCUCGGGUUGGAAAACCCUUGUAAUAGGGGAGAACAAAAGGUGAAAGAAACUGGGACGUCUUGGCGGGAACCAAACAGAAAAGCAGCGGUAACUUCGGG
rnacentral:rRNA from 1 species